CUACAGAGGGUGCAAACGUUGUUCGGAAUUACUGGGCAUAAAGCGCGCGUAGGCGGUCAGGUAAGUGUGAAGUGAAAUCCCACGGCUCACCCGUGGAACUGCUUUGCAUACUGCUUGACUGGAGGAAGGUAGGGGAGAGCAGAACUCUUGGAGGAGCGGUGAAAUGCGUAGAUAUCAAGAGGAAUACCAGUGGCGAAGGCGGCUCUCUGGUCCUUUACUGACGCUGAGGUGCGAAAGCUAGGGUAGCGAACGGGAUUAGAAACCCUAGUAGUCC
rnacentral:rRNA from 1 species